GUGCCGCUAGCUCAACCGGCUAGAGCAGCUGCCUCUUAAGCAGCGGGUUCGGGGUUCGAGUCCCCGGCGGCGCAC
rnacentral:tRNA from 1 species